rnacentral:tRNA from 1 species
UCCGAAAUCGGUAGACGCUACGGACUUUAAAUUAAUUGAGCCUUGGUCAAGAAAUUAGCUAAGUGAUUGUUUCCAUAUUCGGGGGAGCCUAGGGUGAGAAGGAUAAACAUAGUAGGUAAUCCUGAGCCAAAUUUUGCUUAUUUUGCAAAAUAGGUGCAGAGACUCAAAGGGAACUAUCCAAACAAAAAUAUAUUAUUUAUGAAUUAUUAUUUCGUUUUAUUAUAAAUUUUUUCUACUUAAAUAGAAGGAUGAAGAUAGAGUCCAUUUUUACGCGCUAUAUUUGGCAACGAUGUAAGUCAUUGUAAAAAGAAAAUCCGUUGGCUUUUUAGACCGUGAGGGU